GAUUAACGCUAGCGGCAGGCCUAAUACAUGCAAGUCGAACGAACUCUUCGGAGUUAGUGGCGGACGGGUGAGUAACACGUGGGAACGUGCCUUUAGGUUCGGAAUAACUCAGGGAAACUUGUGCUAAUACCGAAUGUGCCCUUCGGGGGAAAGAUUUAUCGCCUUUAGAGCGGCCCGCGUCUGAUUAGCUAGUUGGUGAGGUAAAGGCUCACCAAGGCUACGAUCAGUAGCUGGUCUGAGAGGAUGACCAGCCACAUUGGGACUGAGACACGGCCCAAACUCCUACGGGAGGCAGCAGUGGGGAAUCUUGCGCAAUGGGCGAAAGCCUGACGCAGCCAUGCCGCGUGGAUGAUGAAGGUCUUAGGAUUGUAAAAUCCUUUCACCGGUGAAGAUAAUGACUGUAGCCGGAGAAGAAGCCCCGGCUAACUUCGUGCCAGCAGCCGCGGUAAAGUCUGUACU
rnacentral:rRNA from 1 species